rnacentral:rRNA from 1 species
CCUGGUUGAUCCUGCCAGUAGCUAUAUGCUUGUCUCAAAGAUAUAAGCCAUGCAAGUGUCAGUAUAAGCUUGAAUAACGGCGAAACUGCGAAUGGCUCAUUAAUCAGUUAUAAUUUAUUUGAUUGUGCAAGUUACUAAACGGAUAACCGUAGUAAUUCUGGGGCUAAUACGUGCGAAAAAUCCUGUGUUUACGAUGUGGGAUGUACUUAUUAGACGCAAAGCCAACCCUGGUUUCGGCCAGGAGUUUAGGUGAGUCAUGAUAAUUGAACGGAUCGCGAGGGCCAGUAGGUGGGGAUAGUUUUUCCAACUCGUGUGCCAGCGAUGUUUCAUUCAAAUUUCUGAUCUAUCAAUUUAGGAAGGUUGGGUAGUGGCCAACCUUGAUAUUGACGGGCAACGGGGAAUCAGGGUUCGGUACCGGAGAGGGGGCCUGAGAGAUGGCCACCACAUCCAAGGAUGGCAGCAGGCGCGCAACUUACCCAAAUCUCGAUACGAGGAGGUAGUGACAAGAAAUAUCGGCGCGGGGCCCUAUAAGGGUCUUGUAAAGCUGAAAUGAGGACAGUUUAAAACUCUUACCGAUAAGCAAUUAGAGGGCAAGUCUGGUGCCAGCAGCCGCGGUAAUACCAGCUCUGAUAGUGUAUGUUAAAGUUGUUGCAGUUAAAACGCUCGUAGUUGGAUGGUCGGGAGGAAGCAUUGCAGCGCGGGCCCUUUCGGGGGUCAAGCGGGUGUUGUGGACUCUUGAGGGCCGAGCUUGUCUAGGGGUCACUGCUUGUUCUAUGGUGCGCUCGCGGCCCUGGCCUCAUGGAGGACGGGGAAGGGCGACGUGUUGUAGGAGGGUGGAUGUGCUCUAAUCGGCGGGUUGGGUUCGAAAUAAUUCUCUGUGGUAUUAAGUUACUGUGGGGGACGUUUACUUUGAGCAAAGAUUAGUGUUCAAAGCAGGCCUUAGGCUUGAGAUAUCUAGCAUGGGAUAAUGGAAUAAGACUUUGGUUUUAUUUUGUUGGUUUAUAGAGCCGAAGUAAUGGUUAAUAGGGACAGGUCGGGGGCGUUGACAUUCAGUAGGGAGAGGUGAAAUUCAAUGAUCUACAGAGGAUCAACAGAAGCGAAAGCGUUCGCCAAGGAUGUUUUCAUUGAUCAAGAACGAAAGUUAGGGGAUCGAAGACGAUUAGACACCGUCGUAGUCCUAACCAUAAACGAUCUCGACUGGGGAUUGGGUUGGUCAUUCCUUCGGGAAGGAACCAGCUCAGGACCCGCUGAGAAAUCAAUAAGUGUUUGGAGUCUGGGGGGAAGUAUAGUCGCAAGGCAGAAACUUAAAGGAAUUGACGGAAGAGCACCACAAGAAGUGGAUUCUGUGGCUCAAUUUGACCCAACGCGGGGAAACUUACCAGGACCGGACCGAAGUAGGAAUGACAGA